rnacentral:ncRNA from 1 species
UACCUUUGCAGCCCUGAAAAUCAGGAUACAUAACAAUCAUUAAAAACAAUAUUGAAAUG